rnacentral:misc_RNA from 1 species
GAUGAAGAACGUAGCGAAAUGCGAUAAGUAAUGUGAAUUGCAGAAUUCCGUGAAUCAUCGAAUCUUUGAACGCACAUUGCGCCCCCUGGUAUUCCGGGGGGCAUGCCUGUCCGAGCGUCAUUGCAACCUUCAAGCGCGGCUUGUGUGUUGGGUCUCGUCCCCCGUGGACGGGCCCGAAAGGCAGUGGCGGCGUCCCGACAUGGUGCCCGAGCGUAUGGGAAUCCUCUUCCGCUCGAAUCGGCCCACGCGGCGCUGGUCGUAACCAAAUUUUUUACCGGUUGACCUCGGAUCAGGUAGGGAUACCCGCUGAACUUAAGCAUAUCAAUAAGCGGAGGA